CCCACACCCAUGUGUGUAAGACCCUAAAAGAUCACCAUUAAAUUUGGCACAGAUCUCUAGAAAAAUUAUCGCAUGGGUGUGGAACUUGACUUUUCUAGAGAUCUGUACCAAAUUUAAUGGUGAUCCUUUUGGGGUCCUACACAUAUAGGUGUGGG
rnacentral:pre_miRNA from 1 species